rnacentral:siRNA from 1 species
UGGCUGUAGUUUAGUGGUUAG